UACGGAGGGGGCUAGCGUUGUUCGGAAUUACUGGGCGUAAAGCGCACGUAGGCGGCUUUGCAAGUUAGAGGUGAAAGCCCGGGAGCUCAACUCCGGAAUUGCCUUUAAAACUGCAUCGCUAGAAUUGUGGAGAGGUAAGUGGAAUUCCGAGUGUAGAGGUGAAAUUCGUAGAUAUUCGGAAGAACACCAGCGGCGAAGGCGACUUACUGGACACAUAUUGACGCUGAGGUGCGAAAGCGUGGGGAGCAAACAGG
rnacentral:rRNA from 1 species